rnacentral:rRNA from 1 species
GAUGAACGCUGGCGGCGUGCCUAAUACAUGCCAGUCGAGCGAACGGACGAGAAGCUUGCUUCUCUGAUGUUAGGGGCGGACGGGUGAGUAACACGUGUAUAACCUACCUAUAAGACUGGGAUAACUUCGGGAAACCGGAGCUAAUACCGGAUAAUAUUUUGAGCCGCAUGGUUCAAAAGUGAAAGACGGUCUUGCUGUCACUUAUAGAUGGAUCCGCGCUGCAUUGGCUAGUUGGUAAGGUAACGGCUUACCAAGGCAACGAUGCAUAGCCGACCUGAGAGGGUGAUCGGCCACACUGGAACUGAGACGCGGUCCAGACUCCUACGGGAGGCAGCAGUAGGGAAUCUUCCGCAAUGGGCGAAAGCCUGACGGAGCAACGCCGCGUGAGUGAUGAAGGUCUUCGGAUCGUAAAACUCUGUUAUUAGGGAAGAACAUAUGUGUAAGUAACUGUGCACAUCUUGACGGUACCUAAUCAGAAAGCCACGGCUAACUACGU